UGUGGGGAGAGCUAUUGAUGUGUCAGCUGGACCUCACUGUUUGCCUUAUUGCCUAACAGCUUCCUUGAAGCACAGUAGUACUUGUUCUGUUGUACGGUGGAGGCGUGUAAAGAUAGACACAUACCUGCUGCUUUGUCUCAUUGAAACCGUCUGCAAUUGCUGAUUGCAGCUGACCUCAUUAUGGCCUUCCAGUAUUUAAAGGGAGUUUAUAAACAGGAUGACAAUCAACGUUUUAUGCGGGCAGAGAGAGAUAGGAUGAGGGGAAAUGGUUUUAAACUAAAGGAGGGGAGAUUUAGAUUAGAUGUCAGAGGGAAGUUUUUCACUGAGAGAGUGGUGAGUGAGGUGCUGGAACGGGCUGUCCAGAGAGGCUGUGGAUGCCCCGUCCUUGGUGGUGUUUAAGGCCAGGCUGGAUGCGGCCCUGGGCAAUCUGAUCUAGUACCUGAUCUAGUGGCUGGCAACCAUGCCCUCAGCAGAGGGGCUGGAGCUUGAUGAUCUUUGAAGUCCCUUCCAACCCAAGCUGUUCUGUGAUAUUUGUUAGUUUCAAAGCCUAAAGUGAUCCUUAAGCACCCCCAGUUUUUGUGCUGCAUUUCUGAGAGGAGUGGAGUGCCAGUCCCACCUGCAUCACAGCUCUGGUGAUGUAAAAUAAGCAGUCCUGGGAGUAAGGCAGUGUGCUGGGGAGUGUGUGCCGUGUGGAACAGUUCUCUCUUACACUAGAUCAAGACAAAGAAGUCAUGGAGAGCAUCAGCUCUGUUCAGAGCACCACUUAAAUAGUAGCGAUGGAUUCAGUGUAAGCUCUUCUGUGAACACUUGAGCGGAAGAAAUCCGGUCAUCUUUGGCUGGCUGUGACCUCUGGCUGGAGGUUUUCCUGUGGGCAGGAGAGCAGCAGCACGAUUCUUUCUCUGGGAUUUCACUGGCAUCCAAUAGGAUACAUAGCCUGUCCCUCUGGGGAGGCACUGCUCUGUGUGCUGCAGCCUGCUCUCAUGAAACUUUCAACGACCCAAAUGCCUGCUCUCUCUUCUCUUCUCUUCUCUUCUCUUCUCUUCUCUUCUCUUCUCUUCUCUUCUCUUCUCUUCUCUUCUCUUCUCUUCUCUUCUCUUCUCUUUUCUCUCAGACGUGAUUGAAAUUGGCUGAUGGGCUGAGAAGGUGUCAGUGCAGUCAGACAGACAGACGUCCACAUGUGCAUACGCACAUCCGUCAGGCUCCUGCCCGCACAAAGCGAUUGCCUAAAUCUGAUUUCCUUUAAGAAACCAGAUUGUGAAAAGGGGAGCGGAGGGAAGUCAGACAAGAUAGCCUCCUGUUCAGUUACAGUAGGUGUUUGUCCAGCUGCUUGCAGUGCAGUGCCCAGUCCUGCUACAGGGCAGCUGGGAGACCACUGUUGUUUGCGAGAGGGUGAGAUCAUAGGGAGUAACGAAGGUACUGUGCUACAUCUUAUCACUUCUGUUUCUUGAACUGUUUUAGAAUCCAGAUCACACACACUGCUUCGCUCU
rnacentral:lncRNA from 1 species